CUACUACUCCCUCCAUUCGGAAUUACUUGUCGCAGAAAUGGAUGUAUCUAGAUGUAUUUUAGUUCUAGAUACAUCUAUUUUCGAGACAAGUAAUUCCGAACGGAGGGAGUACCUC
rnacentral:pre_miRNA from 1 species